UCCUACGGGGGGCUGCAGUCGGGAAUAUUGGACAAUGGGCGCAAGCCUGAUCCAGCAAUACCGCGUGUGUGAAGAAGGCCUGCGGGUUGUAAAGCACUUUCAGUGGGGAAGAUAAUGACGUUACCCACAGAAGAAGCACCGGCUAACUCCGUGCCAGCAGCCGCGGUAAUACGGAGGGUGCAAGCGUUAAUCGGAAUUACUGGGCGUAAAGCGCACGUAGGCGGCCUUUUAAGUCAGAUGUGAAAUCCCCGGGCUUAACCUGGGAACUGCACCUGAUACUGGGAGGCUAGAAUGUGGGAGAGGAGAGUGGAAUUUCCGGUGUAGCGGUGAAAUGCAUAGAGAUCGGAAGGAACAUCAGUGGCGAAGGCGGCUCUCUGGACCAACAUUGACGCUGAGGUGCGAAAGCGUGGGUAGCAAACAGGAUUAGAUACCCGAGUAGUCAC
rnacentral:rRNA from 1 species